rnacentral:rRNA from 1 species
UACGGGGGGGGUAAGCGUUGUUCGGAAUUACUGGGCGUAAAGGGUUCGUAGGCGGCCAACUAAGUCAGACGUGAAAUCCCUCAGCUUAACUGGGGAACUGCGUGUGAUACUGGAUGGCUUGGAUCCGGGAGAGGGAUGCGGAAUUCCAGGUGUAGCGGUGAAAUGCGUAGAUAUCUGGAGGAACACCCGUGGCGAAGGCGGCUCUCUGGGACGGUACUGACGCUGAGACGCGAAAGCGUGGGGAGCGAACAGG